rnacentral:lncRNA from 1 species
ACGUAGUGUGUUUCGGUUUUUGUCUUUAUUGCCGUUUUGUUCUAUUUAUUCAUCAUUUACCAUCACGCAUUUAUGUAAUUGGAAGUGUCAUCUCAUAUGAGAUAUCUAAAUAAAAUUGUUCUGAGGAGGGCCCCCACCAGGGCCGAAACGUUAACACGAUAAAAAGUGUUUUGAGUUGCGACCUUCAUAUCCAAGAAUAACUUUAAUCAACAAAUCUCCAAGGUCAAGAUAAAUCAUCUUC